UCUCGUCGAUUCCACCAAUACCUCUCAGAAUAGUAUACAAUUUCAUUCAGAAAAUCACAAUUGUUUAAUUGGACAUUCUUUACUUUUCGUGAGAAAAAGAUUUUUCACUUAGAAAUUCAGACACAAAAUUCUGAAGCAUGACAUUUCUGUCAUUAAUUACAAAUAGAAUCUGGGCCGCCCAAAAAAAAUAAAAGAUUUCGGAUGAUAAUUAUAAAAAAGAUUAAAGAGUAAAAGAGUGAAUUUAGAUAUGAAUUUUAAUUGGACAAGUAGUGAUAAGGUCGGUGGAGAAGGAAGGGACGGAAAUAUGUUCCAUCUUUUUCCUCUCAUUGUGGGCAAUCUAUGUCUAAGGAAAAAAUUUAAGUUAAGUAAAAAAAAAUAGAAGUUGAGAGAUAUGUGACAAUGAAAAGCUUAAAAAUAUUUAAGGGAUAGAAGGACAAAAAUUCGAAGACACCGAUUUUUGGGGGGUCAUUCGGCAAAAAAUACGUCUAGGCCCACCUCGAAAAUCGUGGGCUAUAGCACACCAAUUUAAUCCGAAAAUGGCCCGUUUGUGCCUUUUGACCACCCAAACCGCCCCGUUCGCGACAAAGACCCAUACUAGGCCCAUCUCUAGGCUGUCUGGAACAACCCGAUCGAUUUUCAGAGCUAGAAUAUUCAUUGAAGUAUAUAAUUUUUCGUCGAAAGGGGUUCGAAUGAAUCCAAGGCGGCUCCGCCCCUGCAUACCUGCUCAUUCUAGGGAUGAUGAUGCUGAUAAGAUUUCGUCCAUUCUUAGGGGCUCAAAACCCCCGAGUCUCCCGAAUAAGGGUGGAAGAUCCCAACCAUCUUACUUCAAUCUAUUUGCGGAACUUAAGAAUUCCAGCAUAUAGGGUACUUUUGUUGUCCCCCUUCCCAAUCAAAAAUACAAUCGCAUCUCAUCCAAAAUACAUCAGGGAAGCUUAUAAGCUUUGAGAAUCCGUGUACAGGGGCGGGGCGGGGCGGGGCGGAUCUAUGUAGAAGGAUUGGGGUGCCCUGGCACCCACACUUCUCGAUUGAAACCCUAUAUAUUUAUGUGUAUAUCUGUAUAUAUGUAUCAGUUAACGUAUAAUUCUUCUCUUUGUUUCUUUCUCCAUUCUUUUUUGGAUUACAGCUAAUUACCUCCUCAUCCAUGUUCCUUUCUAUGUCCUUUACACUUUCACUUUUAUUCGCAUCUUAAUUUUCAUCACAAGACAAUGGUCAUCUCUGUUUGACUGAUUUGGUAUUGGUCUCUACAAAUAUUACUAGCAUUCUUGGCUCUUUUUUACCUAGUUUGUCAUCUUGUGGGUCACCACUAAUUCUCAAUUCUUAUCAAGUGAUUCCUAGUUGAUGCAUGGAAAUCACUUCUGUUUCAUUACCACUGAAGGAAUCACUUGGCUUUGAGUAAUUAUGUUCAUUACCACCACAAAGGAUGGGGGUGUGUGAUUAAAAUCUCUUCACUCCUUCAUCAAAGUUCUCGUGUUCGAAUCUCUAAACUAACAAGUACAAGUGAUUGUGUGAUUGUGUCACAAUCACAACAAUAAGCAGCAUUUUGAACGUGCAUCGGUAGUACAGGCGUUUUCGUCUCAGAGACUCUUUAAUUUUGAAGAUUGAUGCAUAGGUAGAGAAGAAUUACUUGAAUGGCAAGUUGAAGACCAUUACAGCAUACUUCUGUAAACCCUCCUGAUAAGCUGUGGUCGCGUGAAUCUUGUAAUCUCUUUGCCAAGUGGAACUAUGGAUACCUUCUCAAUGGCAAGUUGGAUGUUGUUAGUGUGUACGUCUGUGUACCCUCCUGAUAAGGUGUGCUCGAAUGUAUCUGGUAAUUCCUUUUGCAAGUGGAAUUUAUGGAUACUUUUCUCCGGAGCACAUGGGCUUUGUCUUUUCUAUGGCCUUCUUCUGUACAGUGAUGUAUGUCACAAAAAUGCUCAUAUAUACUUUAUAUGGAGUGGACUGACAGUGAUUGUUGCCAGAUAGCUGAUUCCAUUGACGUUGGUAUUAGCAGGAAGGGUCAGUAGAGCUCUACUAGUUGUUAGCAGGGCCAUGGAAUUCCGGCGAGUGAAUUUUUAGCUGUUGUUCGGAUUCGAACAGAAUAAGCAAAUCACAAGUAAAAGAAAUCAAGAACAACAUACAGAUUUACGUGAAAACCCUUGCGGGAAAAACCACGGACAGAGGCAAAGGAGGUUUUACUAUAAUGGAGAGAGAGUACAAUGUGGAGAAAGCUGAAUUUUCUGAAUAAUGGAAAUAACUCACUAAAUCACAC